rnacentral:misc_RNA from 1 species
CUCGUUGACAUGACUACAUCUGAUCCUUCCCUGGCCUCCGAGAUCUCCGCCGCUGCGUCUGCCAAAAAUUGCCACUCCAUUGACGCCCCCGUCUCCGGCGGCGACCGCGGUGCCAAGAACGGAACCCUGGCAAUAUUCGCCGGAGGGGAUGAAGGAGUCAUCCAUCGGCUGAAUCCCCUGUUUGCCCUCAUGGGAAAGGUUAAUUAUAUGGGUGCCCCUGGCAAAGGCCAAUUUGCGAAGCUAGCAAACCAAAUAACCAUAGCUUCUACAAUGGUUGGCUUAGUGGAGGGGAUCGUUUACGCAUA